rnacentral:rRNA from 1 species
CCUACGGGAGGCAGCAGUAGGGAAUAUUGCUCAAUGGGGGAAACGCUGAAGCAGCAACGCCGCGUGGAGGAUGAAGGUUUUCGGGUUGUAAACUCCUUUUGUUAGAGAAGAUAAUGACGGUAUCUAACGAAUAAGCACCGGCUAACUCCGUGCCAGCAGCCGCGGUAAUACGGAGGGUGCAAGCGUUACUCGGAAUCACUGGGCGUAAAGAGCGCGUAGGCGGGUUAGCAAGUCAGAUGUGAAAUCCUAUGGCUUAACCAUAGAACUGCCUUUGAAACUGUUAUUCUAGAGUAUGUGAGAGGUAGGUGGAAUUCGUGGUGUAGGGGUAAAAUCCGUAGAGAUCAAGAGGAAUACUGAUUGCGAAGGCGACCUGCUAGAACAUAACUGACGCUGAUGCGCGAAAGCGUGGGGAGCAAACAGGAUUAGAUACCCCAGUAGUC